rnacentral:rRNA from 1 species
AUGCUUCCUGUUCUUCCUUUUUGUUUUAUUUUUUUCCUUUUUGAUUCAUUGUUGACACUCACAAUUUUUUUCCUAGAGGAUGAAAGAGGUUUAAACCUUCCUUGUUUCUAUGACAAUGUUGGUACCCGUGUGCAAUCGGAAAGAAACCCUUCUCGCAUACACGCUUUUCGUCAAGUACAUCGUGAGAUUGAGGAUGCAACCACUCAUGGUCGGCUCCGGGAUGAUCUAAUAGAGCACCACUGGCAGUUGGAUGGGCGGCGCAUUGGCCCAUGA